rnacentral:lncRNA from 1 species
CCCACUUUUCCCCCUUUUUUCCUCUUCCCGUUUUCCCUUUUUUUCCAUUUUCCCUUAUUUUUUCCUU